rnacentral:rRNA from 1 species
GUACUCGCGAUGCUCUAGAUUAGAGUUUGAUCAUGGCUCAGAUUGAACGCUGGCGGCAGGCCUAACACAUGCAAGUCGAGCGGAUGACGUGGAGCUUGCUCCUUGAUUCAGCGNGCGGACGGGUGAGUAAUGCCUAGGAAUCUGCCUGGUAGUGGGUGGACAUUNGUUUCGAAAGGAACGCUAAUACCUGCAUACGUCCUACGGGAGAAAGCAGGGGACCUUCGNGGCCUUGCGCUAUCAGAUGAGCCUAGGUCGGAUUAGCUAGUUGGUGGUGUGUAAUGGCUCACCAAGGCGACGAUCCGUAACUGGUCUGAGAGGAUGAUCAGUCACACUGGAACUGAGACACUGGUCCAGA